CAGUCGCCGCGGGAAUACGAAGGGGGCUAGCGUUGUUCGGAAUUACUGGGCGUAAAGCGCACGUAGGCGGACAUUUAAGUCAGGGGUGAAAUCCCGGGGCUCAACCCCGGAACUGCCUUUGAUACUGGGUGUCUAGAGUAUGGAAGAGGUGAGUGGAAUUCCGAGUGUAGAGGUGAAAUUCGUAGAUAUUCGGAGGAACACCAGUGGCGAAGGCGGCUCACUGGUCCAUUACUGACGCUGAGGUGCGAAAGCGUGGGGAGCAAACAGGAUUAGAGACCCGAGUAGUCCCUGUCUCUUAUAA
rnacentral:rRNA from 1 species